GUUCAUAAAAUCUAUAACUUAAAGUCCGUACCGAACUCAGACCAAAAAAACAUGAUCCGUACCCAGUCCGAAAUAUAAGAAAUCGCAAAACAGAUCUUGUAGUGUGGUACACCACACAUAUCUGAACCCGAAGUGUUAUUAACCGAACCCAAACGGACAACCCGAAAAACCAAGAACCCAAAAAAUAUAUCAAAAAACCGAUCCGAAAAUCCAAAUAAUCGCAAAUAUAAAUAUUUAAAACGUAAAUAUGUACUUCAAAUAUUCAAUUCUAUAUUUAUUUUUAAAUUUAUAUAAAAAUAAGUAUUUAAAUCUUCAUUAAGUACCUGAAAUAUCCAAUCCUAUAUAAAUAAGUUUAUUUCUUAUAUAUUUCUUUUCAAUUUUGGAUUUAACUUCGAAUAUAUCCAAACCGAACCCAUAUAACUUGAAUCAGAACAAUAUAUGAUUACUUUAUAGAUUUUAGAUGUGAUACAAUUUAAAAGAAAAAUUGAUGUGUUAUAUCCGAACCCGAUUUAUACUUACAAAUUUACUAGAAUGAGACCUAUGAUGUGAUAUAAAUUAGAAACAAAGUUCUAAAUACCCAACCCAUAUCGCAACGGGUACCUAAACGUUCAUGCAUAACUUAAAGUAUAUUUUGUUCAAUUAGUUUUAUAUUUGAUAAAUAUUUAUAUGUGUUGGAAUAACCCAUGAAGCUAUACUCAAAAAAAUAUCAAUACUAACAUGUUCCAGCAUAUCAUUAAAUAUUAAUGAUUAUUACUAUUUAUUUGAUCAUAUAUAUAUAUAUAUAUAUAUUUAAUUUAAUACUUUUAUCUAUAAAAAUUAUAUUAUUAUGUAUUUGGUGAGGGUUUUAAAGAAUUUGUUUCUUUCAUUUGAAUUAAAGUACAUUUGUAUAUAUGGAUAAGUAGGCAUAUAUAAUUAUUUUUAUUAAUAAAUUAAUUAUAAUUGAUCAAUACUAUUAAAACUGAAGAGCAUUUUUGAGGUCACCUUGAAGUUUUGAAGUAUUUACAAUUAUAUGCCACUGGAAUAUUUUUAACCUAUGCUUUCUAAUUAGAAUCAGUAUUUUCGUACUUCUCUUUAUUUUCGUAAUACAUUAAAAGCAAGCGAAUAUACCCUAAAUCCCUAAUAAUACUGAACAACAUCUUACCCAAAAUCCCUAAUAAUACUAAACGACAUCUAUUUAGUUUGAUUUUAUAUCACUUUCAAGUGGGUUGUCGAAGAAUAUAUAGAUGAAGCUUGAUACAAAUGGUUUCAAGACUUCCAUUCCUACGAUUGGCAACAAUAUGCUUGAUGAUUUUUCUAUUCUGUCAUCCACUGAUCUUCCGCGAACAAGAUAUGUGAGUUUUAUUUCUUUGAUGAGAUUCUUUUGUGUUCAUCCGCUAAGCGAGUGUGGGUUGUUGAUUUUAGUUUUUGUUUGGGUUUCAGUUUGAUGAGUUUAGUAAGAAGCUGUACAGAUGGUGAAGCAUGCGGAAGGAACAACCGCACUCGCUUUUUUGUUCUAAGUUGUCAUGGUCACUGCUGAUUCUCAGGAUAGGAGAGGAGGCAAAUCAAUCAAAGAUGAAGGAGAAGAUUGAUGUUAAUAAGAAAGCCAACGACUAGGUAUAUACUUCUUUUCCCGAAUUGAGUUUUUUUUGGAAACCCUAACACUUGAUUUUGCUAAGAUCCCAAUUUCUUUCAUUUUAUGGUUUUGUUCUUGAUUCCAGUCACUGGGUUUCUUCUUGCGUAUUGGGUUCGUUUCUUACUUAUUCCGAUUUCGUUUCAAUUACUUUGUUUUAUUCUCAGUGAACGGUUCUUCACCCAUCUUUAAAGAGCUCAAAUUUUAAGCUUUUUAUGUUUCCGCAAUGUCUUUACAGACAAUAGUUUCUUUGUCUUCCCAAAUUGAUAUGUUGAUGAAUCGUUAGUACUGAAUGGAUACGUUAUUUGACUCAGAUCUUUUAAGGGAAGCCAAUCAUUAACCCUUUUGUCUAUAUUUGUGGGAUUGGGCUCAGUUUAAUCAUAUUUGAGUCUUGAUAACCUCAAAAAGCUUCCAUCACAUUGGUGCUUCUGCCUGUUUAUCUGACCCUGAGGAAAAGACUUCUGUGGAGGGUCCUUUUGCACCUUUUAUUCCCCAUAACUCUCUUUCUCUGCUUAUGUAUUUCCAGCUUAUAAAUAUAAUUGUUCUUGCUUUGAAACUUGGACUUUAUUGUAUGUACAAUUUUUUCUUUUGUUGAUAAACGUAUUGUUAGUUGAUAUGCAAUUUACUAGCACCUGUUCCAUAUUGCGGUGCUUCAGUCUAUGAUCUUUAUCAACAAAGCUGUGAUUAUGCAAUGUCCACACUCGAUGACUUUUCUAACACUUUGGGUACUGAAGAUUUUCAACAACAAAAGGUAUCUCCUUCCGUCAAGUCUACAUUUAUUAUUACUCACUUUCCCCCAAUAUUCUUUUUAUGAUUUGGUCCUUUUGUUUUAUUCUCUGGGUUGUGUUAGCAAGUGGCUAAUUCAUCGCUUAUACAUUGUGGGAGACAAAAUGGGACACAUCAGAGCCAACGUAAUCGUUUUGGCCACUUCCGAAAAGCUUCUCUGCGUUUCCAUCUUCUACAAUGCUAAUGUUGUAUUGGUUCUUGCAAUGAGAUGAUUCAGUAUUCUUUUAUAUAUCACCAUCUAAAAGACUCACUCCUCAUAUUGUUAUAAUUGUUUUGAUAGCCGGUUAUAUGUUUGGUAAACGGAACCCAAUAACUCAUGUAUAUAAUAUGUUCUAAAACUAGGACUGAUUUAUUACCUUCGUAUAAACUUUAUCAUGUUUCAAACGCUGAAUAUCCUGAUCAAAUCAGGUAGUGUUAUAUGUGCUACUAACAGCUGCAGGUUGUUUGAUAGAGAAAACAUAUAUAUGGAAUAAUUGACGUAUAUUUAAUCAUGACAUUAUAUCUAGACUCCACGACAUAUUGAUAUCUAUAUAAUAACAUUUUAACCAAUAGCACUUCUAUGAUAUUGUAUUGAUAUCCAAGAACACUUCUCAAUAACUCCACGACAUAUAUGAUAGAGGAUAUAUAGAAAAUUUGUCGUAUAAAUAUUCAGUAUUCUACUUGGUAUCUACUGAAGUAUUUGGUAGAAUAUAGGCGAAAUCUUUCUAAUUUAAAACUAAAGAGAAAUCUGGUUUAACUAUUCAACAAAUAUUCUCGCAGUAUAUGUUCAUAACACCAUAUAAUCAAUUUUUUAUAAAAACUAUUUAAAACAGAAUACUAAAUCUCAUAUCAAACAUAUUGCCGAAUCAACAUUAUUUAGAAUCUCUUUAGUACGGCGAGACUUUUAGCAUUAAUACUAUCUACACAAUAUCUUAACAAACAAUAAGUAAACAAAAUAUAUUUCAAAACAUUUGCUCUCAAAAUAGGCAAUCGGCCAGCUUUAAAUUAUGGCCUUAUAGUAUGAACUGAAUUACAAUACAAAACAGUUACAUAUUUUUUAGACAAACCAAAGAUUUCGUUAAAUAAAAAAAUCAACAAUUUAAGUCUUCAUAUUUUUGGGUUGGCGGAAAAAACACUAAUUUUAAAAUUUUAAAUAUAUAAGUUAUUUAAAAUUCAAAAAUUAAUCUCACUUUCAGAAAAUACAUGUUAUUAUUAUAACAAAUAUAAUAAUAAAUAAGUCAAUAUUUAUACACCUUUGUAUUUAUAUGUCGCCACACUGAAAAAAUUAAAUAUAUAAAGUAUGUACACAUUUUAAUUUUUAAUUAAAUCUUUUGACAAAAAAAAGUUAAUUCUAUAAUUAGAAAUGGGUGUCAAAAUCAAUCUUAUUAAGAUAGAAUCACAAAAUUGGAUCCAACUUGUGUCUAAAAUUAACUACAGCCUUAUACUAUUUAAAAUAAAUAGAUAAAUUUUAUUCUGAAAUUUGAAAAAUUCUUUUAAACUAUUUUAAAAUUUUUAUUUUGAAUUUUAAAUAUAUAUUUAUUUAUUUAUUAAAAUCUUAAACUCCACCCCGCUCUAAAACUUUACCACUUAAAUUUAAACAGUAAAUUUAUAUUAGUUAACCUUAAAUAUAUAAGUGUCUAUUUACCCAAUCUUCGAUUAUACCAUGUUCAUUGAAGCAACUAAUAAAUUAUACGAACUUUUGGGAUAUGAUCAAUACAAAGAAUUAGUAUAUAAAUCAUAUAUCCUUUUGGUCAUUGGGUUAUUGUGCUGAUCGCGGGUGAGCCAUUAGUCAAUAUUUUAUUUCAUUUUAAUAUAUAAAUACAUAUAUCAAUAUUAAAAUAUAAAAAUCAUGUUUAAAAAUAUAGUAAAAAUUUAAAGCAAUUUUCUUUAUAUUUUUAAAUUAUAAAUAGACCACUUAAACAAUUUUAUAACAAGUUGGAGUUAUGACAUAAUAAAAAUACAAUAAGAUUAAAACUAAUAAGUACUUAAAUAUCUAAUGUAAACAUUGUAAUUAACUUUUAAAAUUUAAAAAUAACAGUUUAAAUCAAAAUACUGUCAAAAAUUAAAUCAAAUUGGGUUACACAUCGGUCAUCCAUUGGUUCAACUUAUUAGCUUCGGGACCUAGCAUUUUUCAAAUUUUAUAGGGUUGUAAAAUAAUGAAUAUUUAUUAAAGCGGAAAAUUGGAUUAGAUAUGGAUUUACUGGUUCACAUUUGGGCCUGGAUUCACUUUAAAAGCGUUGAUUUUAAAUAGAAAAAAAAAUCUUACAAAUAUACAAAACAUUUAUAACGUUGUUAAUUUUUUUUUUAUUAUUAUUUUUAUUAUUAAAUAUCCCGCGCUUUCAAAGCGCGGGUCAAAAUCUAGUUAUUUACUUAAAAGUAGUGUUAGCAUAAAUUUAUUUCAUUAUUUAAAAAAAUAAUAGAUUAGUUAUUUAGCUCCUUAAUUUUAGGUUAGUGUAUGUAUUUAAUAAUAAUUAAGUAAGGUAUAAAAAGAAAUAAUAGGAAAACUAGUUAAAUGUAAUGGUCCAACCUAGACUAUUUGUAAAUAGAUAAGAAAAUAGGACCCUAUAUUAAUAGAUUAGAUAUUUCAACUUAACUCUAUUUCACUUUAUAAUAAAAUAAAAUAAAAGUAGAUUUGCUCAAUCAGUAAAAUAAUGUAUACUUUCCAAACUCCUGUUUCUUAAGUUCAAGUGAUGCAGCUUGGAACUUCCACGGCAGAAUGCUCAUGCUUUCAGUCAAAUUUCUUCAAACUUUUCUGUGUCCAAGGUGAUUGAUUUGUAUUUUUUUUUUUUUUUUGCAAUCGACGUGGGUGAAUCAAUCCAAAUGCUAGCUGGUAGAAAAAGAUUGGCAUGAGCGGAAAAUUUACUAAAAAAGAUUUUCUCAUGCAAGUGUUUAUCCAGUGCAACCUUUUGUUUGGCUGUCCUUUCUCAAUGAACCUUUCCCAUCCUGAUAUUAUAUUUUCUGUAUACAGCCACAAGAUAACAUCAGCCUACUUGGCAAGGAAUAACAUCAGUUCCAUCCUGAAUGAGUAUGUGGAUCUUUACUACUGAUGAGGGCCGAAUCAGGAGGUAGAGCAAACAGUGCACUCGCCGUGGAUCCAUUUAAGAUCAAGCAAUUUUAAUAGUAUAAAGUGCCUAUAUAUAUAUAUAUAUAUUUUUUUUUUUUGUUAACAACAAUGGUCUAAUUUCUUUUUACACUUUUACUUUCAUAUUUAUACAUAUUAUAAAGCAUAAUACUCUAAAAACAUUUGUUUAUAAAAUAAAAAAUUUAAUAAAUUUUAUAUAUGUUUUAAUAAUAUUUUAAUAACAAAAUUUAGAUUAAUUAAUAGUUUGGGUCUAAAAAAAUAUUAUUUUGCCAAGGGCCUUUUGUAUUGUUGAGCCGGCCCUCUUACUCUUACUGAUAUAUUUCCUCCAACUUCUUCUGUGAAAUCAAGAUUUACUGAACUCUUACUUAUCAUUGCUGCAGCAUGAAGGAGAUGCCUGGUAUCAUAAGCCGGAUGCCACCACUGCCUGUAUCAAUUAACAAUGAUCUUGCAAACAGGUUAAUGACGAGUACACGACAGAAUGUUUUUAUCUGUCUCUUAGCCGAGACCUUAUAUCAUUCCUUCGAGCAUCAACUGAAGUAGGAGCCAAGAAACCGAUGGACGAGGAAACACUUGAUUUUGACCAAUGCUAAAGGAAAUAAGCACAAGUAAAAAACGAAAAAUUGCAGUUCUUUGAUGUGACCACUGGACUGAAAGAAGAUGAGGUUAUCAACUGCGAAACACAAGAUUGAACAAAGUUGGUAUCUUGUGGGAUCCCUUUGUGCUGUCGGCUAAUUUUUCUGCGGAAAGGGUUAACCGCUGGCUAGCCAUUUCAUGUCUCAAAAACGAUUGUUUUUCCUGUGUGAAAAUGUUUAGGUUGUCAAUCCAAGAUAUGAUUCAUUGCACAGAUCCGUGGUAGAGUUGGUUGUAUAGAUAAGCUGUUUCUAAGGUUUUAGAUGAGAGUUAUUAAUAACACAUCUUUGUAAGGUUUGGUCUUCAAUCUU